UACGGAGGAUCCGAGCGUUAUCCGGAUUUAUUGGGUUUAAAGGGAGCGUAGGCGGGUUGUUAAGUCAGUUGUGAAAGUUUGCGGCUCAACCGUAAAAUUGCAGUUGAUACUGGCAUCCUUGAGUACAGUAGAGGUAGGCGGAAUUCGUGGUGUAGCGGUAAAAUGCUUAGAUAUCACGAAGAACUCCGAUUGCGAAGGCAGCCUGCUGGACUGUAACUGACGCUGAUGCUCGAAAGUGUGGGUAUCAAACAGG
rnacentral:rRNA from 1 species